UUGGGGUUGUAGGACACUCUAUACGGAGUUACAAAGGACGACAUUAGACGAAUCAUCUGGAAAGAUGAAUCAAAGAAGGUAAUAAUCCUGUAGUCGAAAAUGUUGUCUCUCUUGAGUGGAUCCUGAGUACGACGGAGCACGUGAAAUUCCGUCGGAAUCUGGGAGGACCAUCUCCUAAGGCUAAAUACUCUCUAGUGACCGAUAGUGAACCAGUACCGUGAGGGAAAGGUGAAAAGCACCCCGGAAGGGGAGUGAAAUAGAACCUGAAACCGUGUGCUUACAAGUAGUCAGAGCCCGUUAAUGGGUGAUGGCGUGCCUUUUGUAGAAUGAACCGGCGAGUUACGAUUUGAUGCAAGGUUAAGCAGUAAAUGUGGAGCCGUAGCGAAAGCGAGUCUGAAUAGGGCGUUUAGUAUUUGGUCGUAGACCCGAAACCAGGUGAUCUACCCUUGGUCAGGUUGAAGUUCAGGUAACACUGAAUGGAGGACCGAACCGACUUACGUUGAAAAGUGAGCGGAUGAACUGAGGGUAGCGGAGAAAUUCCAAUCGAACCUGGAGAUAGCUGGUUCUCUCCGAAAUAGCUUUAGGGCUAGCCUCAAGUGAUGAUUAUUGGAGGUAGAGCACUGUUUGGACGAGGGGCCCCUCUCGGGUUACCGAAUUCAGACAAACUCCGAAUGCCAAUUAAUUUAACUUGGGAGUCAGAACAUGGGUGAUAAGGUCCGUGUUCGAAAGGGAAACAGCCCAGACCACCAGCUAAGGUCCCAAAAUAUAUGUUAAGUGGAAAAGGAUGUGGCGUUGCCCAGACAACUAGGAUGUUGGCUUAGAAGCAGCCAUCAUUUAAAGAGUGCGUAAUAGCUCACUAGUCGAGUGACACUGCGCCGAAAAUGUACCGGGGCUAAACAUAUUACCGAAGCUGUGGAUUGUCCUUUGGACAAUGGUAGGAGAGCGUUCUAAGG
rnacentral:rRNA from 1 species